rnacentral:rRNA from 1 species
UGGGGAAUAUUGCACAAUGGGCGAAAGCCUGAUGCAGCAACGCCGCGUGAGUGAUGAAGGUCUUCGGAUUGUAAAGCUCUGUCUUUUGGGACGAUAAUGACGGUACCAAAGGAGGAAGCCACGGCUAACUACGUGCCAGCAGCCGCGGUAAUACGUAGGUGGCGAGCGUUGUCCGGAUUUACUGGGCGUAAAGGGUGCGUAGGCGGAUGUUUAAGUGAGAUGUGAAAUACCCGGGCUUAACUUGGGUGCUGCAUUUCAAACUGGAUAUCUAGAGUGCAGGAGAGGAGAAUGGAAUUCCUAGUGUAGCGGUGAAAUGCGUAGAGAUUAGGAAGAACACCAGUGGCGAAGGCGAUUCUCUGGACUGUAACUGACGCUGAGGCACGAAAGCGUGGGUAGCAAANAGAUUAGAUACCCUGGUAGUCCACGC